CAGCAGGAGCCCGGAGCCUGCAGGCGUGGUGGUUGGCUCCUGGGGUCCUCCCUCUCCCUCUCUUUCUUUUGCAUAAUACAUGUGCCUUCCUUCAUUGGUGGUCCCCUGAAGUCACCAGCCCUGCCAGAAGGUCUUUCCUGGGACAAAAGGGGAACUGGAGCGAGAUGGCCUCUCACAUGUUGGCACCUCUCCCUGAAUUUCCUUCCUUGGCAACUCUGUGCGCUGGAAGGGCUGGCCAGCAACCUUGUUAUUUUCACCAGCCCUGCCCAUGUGACUCGCACCAGGCAAAAGUGCUAUGUAAGCAGCUCCAUUAAAGCACUGGCUUGGCCGGUCGGUUACCCUUUGCCAUUUAAGACCAUGAAACCAAGUCUUUCCAGCUCAAUUCUGGCCUAUUUUAAAAGAUGUUGGUUUCCUUUCUUUAGCUACGAUGGCCCUCUCCUCCUGUCAACAUAAAGUAGCAAACAUCUUGGUCUCACCUCUGACUUUCUUUAGUUCAACUAGAUCUUGAUUUUUUUCUUUUUUCUCUUUGGGGAUAAUGGCCGGAAAGCUUUAAAACAGAAUGCUUUUUCACUAUUUAGAUCUGAGCUUUUGCAGAGUCUCAGCUUGCCCCCACACUUCCCAGCCGUACCCUGGGAAGAGCAGAGCAGUUCCCCUUGGCCCGCACUUGAAGCUCUCUGGAUUGAACGUGCAUUUCCUUUUUCCUCGGGUGGUCACCACAGCCAACACCUGGGCUGGGCCUGCUGCUUUCUCCUUAGAUGCUACCGUUGAAACCACAUAGUGGAAGCCAAGCUCUAAGGCAGGAAAUUCCUUUCAUAAAAGGUUUGACUGUCCAUCAGGUGGGUCCGUGCUUUCACCUAUCCAUCCAAGACUGCGUGGUAAAUGUUAAAAUGAGGAGCACUGGUAUACUACCAGAACUAUCAAUGUAUUUGAUACUGAUGAUUGGAGAGAAAUUACUGGGCCCAUUUUUCAGACGUCAAGUACUCCGAGAAACAGAGUACUUUUGCAGUGUUUUUAUAAGGUGUUUUCUUACAGGUAAGCAUUGUAGGAGACUUGGUCAGCUCUAAAUCAGUGGUGCUGUGAAUUAAUUGCAUUAGCAUCAAAGAGGUGGCUGAAGAAAUGAUCUGUGGUCAUAGGUAACGGUAUACAGUGGAAUACAAUUGUGUGAAGUAAGGAAUCAACGGACCUGGGAAGACAGCAUAUAGAGAGAUGUCAUAGGCGCUCUAUGCUUAGCAUCCUGCAAGGCGCAAAGGUACCCACCAACCUCUCUGCUCUCACAUCCGUUCCACCUUUUUUCUUCUUCAAAUCCCAGCUUAAGGUAACCUCCUCCUUGUAGAAGAGUCCCCCCUGCCCCACCUUCCUGGCUCUUCUGCAUACUUUGCCUGUGCCCUUCCCUUCAGGACUUAACGCUUUGGGAAACCAAACCCAGGAAGCCAGAGGGUUUUUUUCCUCCUUUCAAACUGUCCUACUUCUCCAUAUACAUAGUGAAUUGGGAGCACGCGAAAGGGAUAGAAUACCAGGAAAGUUGCAAGAGUUGGUUGACAUUUUAUCUUCUCACAGAUUUUUUUUUUUCAGAAUGGGAAAGCUCUACAUAGGAUUAAAACAUUAACUCUCUGCUUAAACAUUUUUGACAUUAACUAUAGAAUAUUCAAAGUUCAAAUCCUUUAAAUAGUGAAAUCAGAACCAUAGCUGAAAAGUGGGUUUUCCUGGGUGAUAGGAAUUAUAAUGUUUAUAAUAAAGUAUAUGUUUACUCCGUGUCUACAUUUACUGUAUUUUAUAUGUUUUCUAUAUUAUACUCAAGAUUUUUUAAAAAGUCACAGCUGUUUCUGUUAAGUGAUUUUUUUUUUUUUUUUUCCAAGCAUGGUUGGAUGAGGAAGAAUUACUUUCUGGCUACAUCUGAGUACAUGACAAUAGCCAAGCAACAAUAUUGUAUUCCUGUGUUCUCAGUAAAAAGAGAAACUGCUAGUAAAUCUCUAACCAGGUAUUUUAAUUAUGUUGCACUGGACUCCAUAAAUUGGCAAGAAGUUUCAAGGCAUUUAAAUACAAGAUCAAAACUUUUUUUAAAUGAUUUUUAUUUUUUCCAUUAUAGCUGGUUUACGGUGUUCUGUCCAUUUUCUCCUAGACAGCAAGAUCAAAACUUUUAAUCGAUGGGUUUGACUAAGAAGGCCUUGCUGAAGGGGUGCGGAUCUCUCUCGUGUAUUUACAUCAUAACCUUAUGCUGUUUUCAGCUGCUUACAUAGUGGAGACUAAUCAGUAAGCUGAGACAGUGUGGAAGGAAGCAGAAGCUUUAUUUGUUUUUCAGCUCUAGCGGGCAUAGUUUACAUCGGUCGAGCCCAGAAGAUGUAAAUUCCUAGUGGAUGCCAUGAUGCAAUAAUCCGUAGGUCUCAAGUAGUGUUGCCCAAGUGUUGACUUAUUAGAUAAUGCCUUAAAAAUUACAUUUUUCAUUACUGGCAACAGGAUUAGGUGGGUUUUAUCCUGUGAGAAGACACAUGCGGACAGUAGAUGCUGAUGUGGUGAUGAAAUUUUGUCAAAAUGUAAUUUCCUGCGACUAAAUCUCGUGACAGGUGCAUCGUAUUUCUGGGUUCAGAAGUUAUUCCCCAAUGACGUAACUAGAGAGAAUGUAUCCCGGGAACAUCACGGGUUGAUAUUUGCACAGCCCUUCUCCAGGGAUAUGGUUUGCUUUUUUUGUUUCCAGUUUAUGAGUGCUACAAAUGAGGUUUUAUAAAACAUCGUAGCAAUAUUUGCCUCAUAUGGUUGGUGUGAGUCCCUUGGAGUUGCAUACAUAAAGUACGUUAAACACCCAUUACCCAUGUCAUCUUUUUCAGUGCGUAUUACAGUCUUUAUCAUUGUAUUUUUAUGUGUCACUCAACAGAUAUUUGUUGCAUUUAAUGACUGCAGGAGCCUAGUAUGGUAUUGCUUUUUUUUUUUUUUUUCAACAUAUUCCUAAGUUAUAAAAAUUAUGAAUAUACAUUCAUACAUUAUGCGUAUGCCUGCAGACUAAUAUACACAGUUGCCCUUCUGCAAGGAGUUGCUUUAUUCAAACUCAGCCUUUCUAGACUGCAAGUGUGUUAGAGACAGGGGUAAAGGCAGAUGUACUACAGUCCUGUGAGGCAUAUGCUAAGGUCUGUCUAUAAUAUUACGAGAGUUCCUUUCCAGCAAAACUCCUUACAGCCAUUGUGAACAGUUCUGUUUCUGGAACUUUAGUUUCGCAGUUCUUUGGCAUUAGAUAAUACCUUGCUGGGAUCCAUUAACCCAGCAUAAUCAGCUCUUUUCUGCACUGUAUUUGGCUCUCAAAGCUUUUUGGCUGUCUCCAGAGAUCAAAAGUACCGUCAAAGGGCCAAACUGGCUGCUAGAGAGACCAUGUGAAAGAAUAUGCCCAGGCUGAGAAGGCAGUUGGAAGAAAGAAAUGGGAAGUUAAGAAGGCAUUCCAAAAAUGCUGGUGACAAUGGCUGCGUGAUUGGACUAAGUAUGCAGACCCCAAAGUGGCUGCAAGGGGUGGGGGUGGGAGGGCCAGACAGUCCUCACUGAGGGUGUCUGUUAAAAAUCCGUAUUGUUUACUCAGUAGCUAAACUUUAUGCACACAUGCGCGCCUGCACACACACGCACACACACACACACCCUUGUAUAAAGAUAAAUUGUUGUGAACUUCAGACUCUCUCUAUUUCCAGACCUCUAUUGCCUGUUUAUAGUUCUGUUCCCAUCCCCUCCACAUCAGCCUUCCCUCUCUUUUUCCCACUUUCCCUUUUUCCUCUAUUCCUAAAUGGAUGGUGCCAGCAGGUAGCAUUAGUGGCUGAGAGGUGUGUUGACCAGGAUUUACAAGAAAGGCUUUGAAAAGCAGUAUUCUGAGGUCUUAAAGGGGAAGGUAUAUGAUGGAACGGAUAUAUCUUUUUAUUUCCUGCUCUUUGAAGGUACUACUUGUGGCAGAUUACAAGGAUGGUUUCAGAGGGGCCCAGAGCAAAAGAUUUCAGCAUCUGGUGAAGCCAGAUUUUUUUUUCUCUCCUCAUAGGGCCUCCAGUCUCCACCCUUCUGCAUCCAUGCAGGUUGGCACAUGUGACAAAACUGGAUAGAGUUUGUUCCUGUGCUAAGCUCUUCAUUCAGCCAUUCUGGCUAAGAGCCAGAAUGUAAAAUGAAAAACAUACCGUGUACCCUAAACUUUUCCCCUAUUUUAUAUAAGUUGGCAGUUUACGUGGCUCCAGACUUUUGGCAAAGUAUGGCCUUCCUACCUACGUUCAGGCCUGGCCAUAGGAAGCUGUGUUAAGCUGUAUGUGGGUAUCUUUUAAGAACAUUCUGAUAGUUUGCAUUGUGAGUUCAGGAGAAACUUGAAAGUAAGAUCUCCGGAGUUUUUGAAAGGCUAGGUUUUCCUUUCUUUUUUUGGAAAGCACAUGAAAGCAGAUCUGGUGUCUCUGGCAAUUAAAGAGAUAAGCCUGGGGUGCAUUUUUGUGUUGUUUUGUUUUUUACCUUGCUGUCUCCCCAUCAGGUCUUUAUUUCUAAGUAGAAAACGGACAUUCUCUGUCAUUUAGGGGCAGAGUUAAUAAUUGCGAAAUGAAUAGAAAGUCUCCUGGUAAAAUUCCAGUCUGCAUUUGGUAAUCUUCAACUUACCUGAAAGCCAUUCUGGGCAUGGUGAGGGCUGACCGGUCCCAGCCAUACUCUCCUUCAAAAAGGAGCAAGAGAAGGGGGUAAAAAGUUGCAUUUGUCAAUGUUUAUUACCUUGUGUGGAUUUUGUUUUAUUUAUUUAUUUUUUUGGCUUUUUAGGGCCCCACCCACAGCAUAUGGAGGUUCCCAGGCUAGGGUGUGAAUCGGAGCUGCAGCCGCCAGCCUGCACCACAGCCACAGCAACGCCAGAUCUGAGCCGCGUCUGUGACCUACACCGCAGUGCCCUGCAGCAGCGGAUCCUUAACCCACUGAGCAAGGCCAAGGAUCGCACCUGCAUCGUUUUGGAUAUGAGUCAGAUUCAUUUCCGCCGAGCCACAACGGCAACUCCGAGAUGACUUUUCCCUCGUGUGGAUUUUAAAGUCUAAUUACUGUCCUCACAGUGGACAUGGAUCAUUACUGCUGCGUAUCGAUCGUAUCACAAAGCGUGUCCUGUGUCCCUUCACUUAUUUAGAAACAUGGUGACCUGUUAAUUAAGGUUCCCCGCCAUCUACCCUGUCCUACAUUUGUAGAUGUCACUCCGACUACCCCUUUGCAGACACCUGAUGCUUCUAAGGAAGCCACAUUCCUCACGUGGUCUGUCCAGGGCUGCUCUCAUCCUCCGGGUGCUGUUUGGUUCUGUGCCCUCAGCAGGAGGAAGUGUGCUUUGUCCCUUCCAUUCAUUCCGAUCCUAUUUGGGGAGUUCUCUCUUGAUGCCAGCCCUUGCGCUAGGCUCUGGAGAUGCUGAAACACCAUACCCAUUUCCACACCCCCAGACUAUGCCAUUUCUUCCAAACCAAGCCUAGUGUGUCAGCAGGGUACUUCCUUUACUUUCCCAGGUAGAAGCCGCGUCCCUCCCUCCUCAAUGCAUCUAGAGCUUUUUGCCCGUGUGCAUCUAUCAUGGAAUUCACUCUGUUUCUUUGUAUUCUAUCUGGGAAUGGAACUUACCUUCCUUGGUAGAAUUUCUAGAAAGAAGAGCCUAUAGCAGAAUUCACCUUUGUAUCCUCUGUAGUGCCUAAUGCAGCCAUUCACUUGUUUAACAGGUAUUUAUUGCUUAGCUCUGUGCCACCUCCUGCUCAGGACAUUCUAUAAAUAUUGAUAUUUAUAGAGACCUUUGGGGUGCCUGAAAAAUAGAGACCUCAGAAGGACUAUCUGGUAUUAAGACUUGAGAGCAAAAGAGGCUUUAGGAGGUUGAAAAGGUGUUCCUUCUCUGGGGAUAAAUGAAUAACGCAUCCUGAGGUCUGGCUUUUGAAAUUUCAUAGGAGAAAUGUUGUGUUUCUGGCAGAAUAACUUAUUUCUAUUAGAUCUACAUCGGAACCUUUCUCUUUAUUUAAUGAUCAACCAGGUCUCUUGGGCUUGGAUAUCCUUUUGCAUCUGAAAUUCUCCUGUCAAACAACGUCAUGUUAAAAACCGAUUUCGGAUUUUGUAAGGUUGAUCCCUGCAACUUCCAGUUCUAAAAUCUGCAGCUGACUUCUAAUUCAAAUAUGUAAGCAUAGCCUGACUGUAACCUGUGUGCCAUACUUCGUAGUUGUUUUACACAGUAACUGUAGUGGACGUUUUUGGUUUGAGCAUAAGAACAUCAAGAUGUUUUAUGUUUUUGAGUUGCUAAACAUCUGAAACCUCCAAAUCAUAUUGAUUUGUUUGCUGACUUAAUAUUGACUCUUUUCCGUUUGUGAUUGCUUUAGACCCUUG
rnacentral:lncRNA from 1 species